CCUACGGGUGGCAGCAGUGAGGAAUAUUGGUCAAUGGACGAGAGUCUGAACCAGCCAAGUAGCGUGAAGGAUGACUGCCCUAUGGGUUGUAAACUUCUUUUAUAUGGGAAUAAAACAGGGUAUGCAUACCCUCUUGUAUGUAUCAUAUGAAUAAGGAUCGGCUAUCUCUGCGCCAGAGCCCCCGGUAAUAUGGAGAAUCCGGGGGUUAUCUGGUUUUAUUGGGUUUAAAGGGAGCGUAGGUGGAUUGUUAAGUCAGUUGUGAAAGUCUGCGGCUCAACCGUAGAAUUGCAGUUGAAACUGGCAGUCGUGAGUGCAGUAGAGGAGGGCGGAAUUCGUGGUGUAGCGGUGAAAUGCUUAGAUAUCACGAAGAACUCCGAUUGCGAAGGCAGGUCACUGGACUGCAACUGACACUGAUGCUCGAAAGUGGGGGUAUCAAACAGGAUUAGAUACCCCUGUAGUC
rnacentral:rRNA from 1 species